rnacentral:rRNA from 1 species
UACGUAGGGGGCGAGCGUUGUCCGAAGUUACUGGGCGUAAAGCGCGCGUAGGCGGGCCGUUAAGUGAGAGGUGAAAGGCUGGGGCUCAACCGCAGCAGUGCCUCUCAUACUGGCGGUCUUGAGGGCGGCAGGGAGAAGUGGAAUGGCUGGUGUAGCGGUGAAAUGCGUAGAUAUCAGUCGGAACACCGGUGGCGAAGGCGGCUUCUUGGGCCGUUCCUGACGCUGAGGCGCGAAAGCCAGGGGAGCGAACGGG